UUAGAAAUUAGGAUUUAGAAAUUCCACUGCUGUGCAGUGGUGAGCGACCGUGUGCCUAUUGAAGAAUGAGCCAACGACUUUAUUUGCAUUGCUGUCUAAGUCCCACGGGACGGAGGCAUAGCGAAAGCGAGUGUUAAUAGCGCGUACAUCUUGUCUUCGACAAGAUACACUAAAAAACCACUAAUACAGGCGCUUCACGCUACACUAAAAAAACACUAAAUAGAUUUCGUGUUGAUUAGUGUCGCUCGCGGAGCGAGCUUAUAUUGGUGUAAUUUUGUGGAUCUCGCCGAAGGCGAGAUGCAAGCAGUACGAAUAAGACCCGAAACCAGGCGAGCUUGCCUUGGCCAGGAUGAAGUUUCGAGAAAUCGAAAUGGAGGUCCGAACCAGUGAGUUGUGCAACACUCUUGGAUGAGCUGAGGUAAGAAGUGAAAAGCUAAUCGAGCUUGGUAAUAGCUGGUUCUCUCCGAAAUAGUUUUUGGACUAGCGUCGAACAAUAACGCAUCUGGGGUAAAGCUACUGGUUCGAGGGUAAAGGGAGCAAUCUCGGCCCUCGAGUCAAACUCUGAAUACGGAUGCGACUCGGUUCGGCAGUCAGAAUGUGGGGGCUAAGCUCCAUGUUCAAAAGGGAAACAGCCCAAAUCGUCGUCUAAGGUCCCUAAAUAUGUGCUAAGUGUUAAAGGUGGUGAUUCGCCAUAAACAGAUAGGAGGUUGGCUUAGAGGUAGCCAUCCUUUAAAGAGUGUGUAACAACCCACUAUUCGACGGCGGAUUGCGCCGAAAAUUUACCGGGGCUAAGCACAAUACCGAAGACACGAAUGCCAGUGCCUUGCACUGGCCCACGAAAAGACACAAAUACAGGCGCUUCGCGCUACACGAAUAGACACGAAUAUAUAAAACACAUUCGUGUUGAUUAGUGUGACGAGCGUAGCGAGCUAUAUUCGUGCAGAUUAGUGGGCCAAUGCAAUGCAUUGGCGUGGUAGGAGAGCAUUUUGUAACCGCUGAAGCAGGAUCCGCGAGGGCCUGUGGAGGUUACAGAAGAGAGAAUGUUGGCAUGAGUAACCACAAUCCCGAUGUGAAAUCGGGACCCCGCAAAUCCAAGGUUUCCUCCGCAAUGGAAUUCAACGGAGGGUUAGGCGGCCCUAAGGCAAUGGCGAAAGCCGCAGCUGAUGGACAGUGCGUUAAUAUUCGCACCCGACCUAUAUGAUCGAUGGAGGGACGAAGGAAAUAAAAUCGAUUGUCUCAAUGGUUUGGCAUUACUGGUCUGAAACAUGGUGCGCAUGGAAAAUCCGGCGCACUGCCUUUAAUGGCGACAUGCGCGGAUCGGCAAAAGAUUCGGUUUUACCGGAUUGAUUCGAUUGAAGAGCCUUCCAAGAAAAACUUCUAAGAUUAUUGUAUAGGUCACCGUACCGUAAACCGACACUGGUGGAUGAGGCGAGUAGCCUCAGGGGAACGAGUGAGUCCUCGUUAAGGAACUCGGCAAAAAAGCGGCCGUACGUUAGCAAUAUGGCCUGGCUGCCAAGGGCAGCUCCACUAAUAGCCACGAAUAAACUCGCUUCGCGAGUACACUAAUUUCCACUAAUAGUUUAAAAAACUGAUUUAUUGGUGGUUAUUAGUUAAAUAUUAGUGUUUAUUAGUGGGGCUGUCUGCGACAGCCCGCAGCUAAAGAAUCCCUGGCGACUGUUUAACAAAAACACAGCUCCCUGCGAACUCGUAAGAGGAUGUAUAGGGGGUGACACCUGACCGAUGCGAGAAGGUUAACGGUGGCAGUCUCUUGUCUACGACAAGACACACUAAAUACCACUAAUAAAAACACUAAGUACCACUAAUAUUCUGUGGCAUUUUGUGUUCAUAUUCGUGGCUAUUAGUGUCUCUCGCCGUAGGCGAGAGGCCGACUGCCCGAAGCCCUCGUCAAUGUCAGCAGUAACUAUAACUGUUCUAAGGUGGAAUACCUGCCUUAGUAAAAUUCGGCUAUAUGCUGGAACACCUGUGAAUCCGAAACUACUAUGGUAUAAUACGUCCAUAGAAAUAUGGCUACUACACCAAGUAAUAAAGUUCUCGGUGCAGACAAUCAGCAGGAAAGACUAAAAAUCGCCUAUUGGAUCAGUGGCUUCACGGAUUUGAGAAAGUUAUAAAAGCCAUGGUCCAAAAAGAUCAUCUUAAUAAAGAUAAAAGAGUAAAAAAUCUUGCUCUUAUCGAACACAUGAAUCGUAGAAAAAGGCGAUCAUAGAAUCCUCAGAGACUAUAUGCCGAACCGAAGCACAUAAAACAUUAUGUGCUCGGAAGAUAUAGUCCGAACUCUAUGGCGACAUAGAGACCGAGCACAUACAAGGAGUAUGUGCUUGGCAACAUAAGAUUGUUGUAACACAUUUGAGCGCAUUUCCUUUUCGGGUAAGUUCCGAAGCGCACGAAAGGUGUAACGACUGGGGAACUGUCUCAACGAGGAGCUCGGUGAAAAUGCGAUUCCCGUGAAGACGCGGGAUACCUGCAACGGGACGAAAAGACCCCGGGAGCUUUACUGUAGCUUGAUAUUGGCUUUAAGAUUUUGAUGCGUAGCGUAGUGAGUAGUCUUUGAAGUGCUGAUUUCGGUCGGCAUGGAGACGCCAAUGAAACACUCAUCUUUAAAAUGUUAAAAUCUAACCCGCAUGGCAAAAACAUGUAGGGACAGUGUCUGGCGGGCAGUUUUUCUGGGGCGGAAUUCUCCUAAAGAGUAACGGAGGAGUUUAUUAAGGUCGGCUUGGCACGGAUGGAAAUCGUGCCGUAUGUGUAAAGGCAGAAGCCGGCUUAACGGCAAGGCUGACAAGCCGCGCCGGUGCGAAAGCAGAACUUAGUGACCCGAUGAUUAUGUCCUGUGUCUCACAAAUUUCAUCAAUUUGGCGGAGCGAAUUUUAGACAGAUUCGCGGCGCGAGAAGGAAAUUGUAUAAGCAGAGCGAUACAUUGACGACGAGCAACAAAGAAUCUGGCGAAAAUUCGCCCGCUUCGGAGAAGAAGCUCAAAAUGAGCGAUUUCUUCGUUGCUCCUCCUCAAUGUACUCUUUGAGUACAAUUUCGUCGUCGCGCCUCGAACUCAUCUCAUUUUUGAGCUUCCAAAUUUGACGAAAUUUGUGAGACAUAGGACUCUCAAUAGAAAGGUCAAAGACAACGGAUAAAAGCUACCCCGGGGAUGAAGCCUGAAAUAAGGCUUUGUUGUCCUCCUCCCGAGUAAUCGGGAGAUAUAAUUGCGGUUUAUAACG
rfam:Candidatus Spechtbacteria bacterium RIFCSPLOWO2_01_FTLL_43_12 rifcsplowo2_01_scaffold_77872, whole genome shotgun sequence.